UUGUCCUUAGUUGCCAUCAUUUAGUUGGGCACUCUAAGGAGACUGCCGGUGUUAAACCGGAGGAAGGUGGGGAUGACGUCAAGUCCUCAUGGCCCUUAUGUCCAGGGCUACACACGUGCUACAAUGGCCGGUACAAAGAGCAGCAAUACCGUGAGGUGGAGCCAAUCUCAAAAAGCCGGUCUCAGUUCGGAUUGGAGUCUGCAACUCGACUCCAUGAAGUUGGAAUCGCUAGUAAUCGCGGAUCAGCAUGCCGCGGUGAAUACGUUCCCGGGCCUU
rnacentral:rRNA from 1 species